rnacentral:SRP_RNA from 1 species
GCCAGGUGUGGUGGCAUGCGCCUGUAGUCCCAGCUACUUGGGAGGCUGAGGUAGGAGGCUCGCUUGAGCCUAGGAGUUUUAGGCUGCAGUGAGCCAUGGUCUGAUCAUGCUACGCACUUCAGCCUGGGCAACAGAGCGAGACCCUGUCUCUA